rnacentral:rRNA from 1 species
AUUGAACGCUGGCGGAAUGCUUUACACAUGCAAGUCGAACGGCAGCACGGGGCAACCUGGUGGCGAGUGGCGAACGGGUGAGUAAUACAUCGGAACGUGCCCAAUCGUGGGGGAUAACGUAGCGAAAGUUACGCUAAUACCGCAUACGAUCUACGGAUGAAAGCGGGGGAUCGCAAGACCUCGCGCGAAUGGAGCGGCCGAUGUCAGAUUAGGUAGUUGGUGGGGUAAAGGCUCACCAAGCCAACGAUCUGUAGCUGGUCUGAGAGGACGACCAGCCACACUGGAACUGAGACACGGUCCAGACUCCUACGGGAGGCAGCAGUGGGGAAUUUUGGACAAUGGGCGCAAGCCUGAUCCAGCCAUUCCGCGUGCAGGAUGAAGGCCUUCGGUUGUAAACUGCUUUGUACGGAACGAAACGGUACUGCCCUAA